CUGUGAAUAUGCAUUGCCUACUUUCCAGCUUCUAUUGUAGCGACUGAAGUGUCAAAGCAUACUACAUGAAGUGGAUGAAAUUUAACCCUCUUCAAAAAGUGCAAAGGAAACAGGCAGGGCCACACCUGCUACUGAAGUGGCUGUAGGAUGCUAUCCAUGAAAAUGAAUCCCACAAUCUAUAUGAUUGAGAGGAAGGGAUGGUUUAAGGAUGCUGUCAGAAUUCAUACUGAUGGGUGAGGCACAGGACACCAGGCUACUAGCAAAGGCAUAAGCCAUUUGGCUUACACACACGUCUGGCCCACAUUCCUGCAAGAGGUCUGCAUUUACUACAGUGAGAGAGUCCAUCAAAGAAAACGAGAGAGAUGUGAAGAGAAGAUUCUUGGAAAUUUGAUGACUGGAAAAAUGAUAGUUCUUGCCAAGGAUUUUUCUGAAGACUGGAAAAAACAACAGGACUGGGACCAGCUAUCUGUGGGUGCCUUGUACUGCUGAGGAAAUGACAGAGUGAGCCAAAAUCAUCUCCCCAGGGAGUUGCCAAAGAGAUGCUUUGUCCCUGAACUAUGAAGAUGAUUUCUUAUUUCUUGCUCCUGUUUGAAAACUGAUGCACAGGCUUGUUGGGCCUUCUCUAUUUGGUGCAAUGAUCACAACAUGAACAAAUCAGACAUUCACAAUAGGGGGAAGACAAUCCCCUUGUGUGAUUACUGUUUGCACCAUUGCAGCAAUAUCUUUAGCCUGUCAGUGCUUGUCUUGCAGGGUUUGGGUGGACUCUGCAGUGCAGAAGACAAUGAGCAACAUCUGAAGACAAAGUUGUUUGACACAGAAUCACAGAUUCACACAUUCACAGAAUGGUUGAUGUUGGGUGGGAUCUCUGGAGUCACCUAGUCUGACUCCUCUGCUCAGAACAGGGUCACAGGACUGUGUCCAUUUGGGUUUUGAAUAUUUCCAAGGAUGGAUUCUCUACAGCAUUUCUGGGAAACAACUCUGGACACUGGAUAUUGCUGAGAAGAGCCCAGCUCCAUCUUCUUCACCUCCCCUCCCGCUGAUAAACUCCACCAAGCUUUUUCUUUCCUAAACAGUCCCAGCUCUACCAUCCUCUCCUUGUAUGACAGAUGCUCCUGUGCCCUAAUCAUCUCUGUGGUCCUUCCCUGGAGUCACUCCAGUAUCUAAGAGACUCUUUUGUGCUGGGAGCCCAGGCUUGGAUCCAGCAUUCCUGCUGAGUCUCACCCAUGCUGAGAGAAAGGAAAGGGUGACCUCCCUCAGACUGCUGACAACAUUUUCCUAAUGCAAAGCAAGAUGCUGCUGGCUUCAAGGACACAUUGCUGGCUCAUGUUCAACUCCGUGCCACCAGGGUGCCCAGAUCUAUUUCUACAAAGCUGCUUUCCAGAUGGUCAGACCCCACUUGCAUUAGGGCCAGGACUCGGGAUUUCUCUUUGUUGAACUUCAUGAUACUCCUGUUGGUGCAUUUCUCCACCCUGCAAGAUCCCUCUAAAUGGCAGCAUGUCAUGCUCAUCUGGUGCAUCAGCUACUCCUCUCAAUUUAGUAUUGUCUGAAAACUUACAGAAUGUGCAUUGUGUCCUGUGAUCCAGGUCAUAAACGAAGACACCAAACCCUAUGGGCCUCAGUACCAGCCCUUGAGGUGUUCCAUUAGUGACCAGCCUCCACCUGAACUUCAUGCCACCAA